CCCUUAGAUGUUCUGGGCCGCACGCGCGCUACACUGAUGCAUUCAACGAGUAAUCUUUGACCUUGGUCGACAGAUCUGGGUAAUCUUUUGAAAUUGCAUCGUGAUGGGGCUUGCGGGUUGCAAUUACCCGCACCAACGAGGAAUUCCUAGUAAACGCAAGUCAUCAACUUGCAUUGAUUACGUCCCUGCCCUUUGUACACACCGCCCGUCGCUCCUACCGAUUGAGCGGUCCGGUGAAGACUCAGGAGAUGGGCGCGUGCUUGGUUCGCCAACUGCGCGGCCUGCCAAAUUUGUCUAAACCUUAUCGCUUAGAGGAAGGAGAAGUCGUAACA
rnacentral:rRNA from 1 species